CUCCGGGCCGCCCCGGGCAAGUCGGAACAACUUCGGAGCGGGCGGCGAGGGAGUGCGGCGGCGGGCGGCUGGCGCGGCCGCCGCAGAUGGCUGCGGGAGCGGGUUUCCUGCGUAGCGACACAGCGCGCCUCGAGCGCCCGCGGCCGGGAGCGCGUUUGCGGCGAGGAGCUGCAGCUGGCCGCCGACGCGUCGGGGAGAGAUCAAAGCGUGCAAUCGGAAGCUGGGCUUCUCAUCUCGGGCUACCGAAAUAGCCCACUUCUUAGUUACUCUUCUCUCUCCCUUACUCAUGGAGCCUGUGUCUUAGAAGGCACUCAUUAAUUUGAUGGUCUGAAUAGCUGUGUCCUUUUUUGAUGCCUGUGUGUCAUCCUGACUUUGGAGUGCGCACAGGGGAUGACUUCCGAGCCAUCUGACAAACAGCAUCACAGUGUAUGAGUAAUCUCCCAGUGGAAAGUUCACUGAAGAGAAUGUUGGUUGGUGACAAAUAAUGCUCUCCAAGCCUCUGGUUUUCCCCAGCUUCAUAACAAGAACAAGACUUUCCCAACAGUGUGGGCACGGAUCAGCUGAAGUAUUUGAGUGCCUCCGAGAGAAAGCGGUGAUGUGUGCUGUAUAUCCAUUUUCAUCAUCUACUAAACUACUCCUAAUAUUGGAGCUGAAAAUUAUCACUGGAAGAUUAUUUCAGAACUUGAUCAACGAAAGGGUUAAGAUCUUCUCUUGA
rnacentral:lncRNA from 1 species